rnacentral:rRNA from 1 species
UACGGGGGGAGCAAGCGUUGUUCGGAUUUACUGGGCGUAAAGGGCGCGUAGGCGGUCAGUGCAAGUCAGUUGUGAAAUCUCCGGGCUUAACUCGGAAAGGUCAACUGAUACUGCUCGACUAGAGUGCGGAAGGGGCAACUGGAAUUCUCGGUGGUAGCGGUGAAAUGCGCAGAUAUCAGGAAGAACACCCGUGGCGAAGGCGGCUCUCGUGGGACGGUACUGACGGCUGAGACGCGAAAGCGUGGGGAGC